rnacentral:rRNA from 1 species
UACGUAGGGGGCAAGCGUUGUCCGGAAUCAUUGGGCGUAAAGAGCGCGUAGGCGGCCCUGUAAGUCCGCUGUGAAAGUCAAGGGCUCAACCCUUGGAUGCCGAUGGAUACUGCGGAGCUAGAGUACGGAAGAGGCGAGUGGAAUUCCUGGUGUAGCGGUGGAAUGCGCAGAUAUCAGGAGGAACACCAAUAGCGAAGGCAGCUCGCUGGGACGUUACUGACACUAAGGCGCGAAAGCGUGGGGAGCGAACAGG